AGGAUAGAAAACCACUCAAUAAUUCAGUGCAUCCUAAUCCCAGAACAAAGCAAGAGGAUACACACUAUGAUGUUGUGCAUUUUCCCCAGGAUGGGCACAUGAUAAAAGAAAAUGGAGCAACUACCCAUAAAAAUAACAAUGCUACAAUGGGGGGAAAAGAAACGGGUAUUAAGACUAGAACUGUGGACAAGUACAACAAGAGAGAAGUAGAGACAGUUUAUAAUCUUGUUCAAUGUUCCCAGUAAUCCGCCUUCUGUGACUCCAUCACCAAUCACCUUGCACCCCACGCCCUCGCUUCAAAGGACUACAUCCUACUCGGUGACCUCAACUUCCAUCUUGACAACCCCAAUGACCACAACACCACCAACCUCCUGGAAAACCUUGGAACCAUUGGACUGAAGCAACUUGUAAACGCCCCAACUCACAUAGCCAGACACACCCUCGACCCAAUCUUCUCCACAGGCAACCACAUCUCAGUCAACCACAUAACCGAACUCCACUGGACUGACCAUCACUGUAUACACUUCUCCUUCAACAAACCCACCACGCACCUCCGGCAUCACCACCUGCCCUGCAGAAACUGGAACAACAUCACCCAAGAACAAAUGCAGAUGAAUGUAUUUAACUAGAGUUGAGGUGACUGAACACUAACAAUGCAGUUGUUGGUUAGUCAUGCAUUAUUAAACUAACUGAAAGAAGGUUUCAUAUGUUAUAUGAGAGUGGUCCACAAUAUACUGAAUCCCUGCAAUUAUGUGAUGUUAGCAGGUUGUAUUACUACUAGAUUCAAGUUGUAAACAGGGAAAUAAGUGGUACCAGAAUAGAGAUGACUAAACUAGUCAGAGCAGCACUUAAGUAGUGUUUAACAGUUGUGUGUUUCACUCAAGUAUUAUGAUUCUUAAUAGCGAUAAUAGCUUGAGUUAGUAUGAAUCCAAGGGUGGGAGGUACUCAGUGUCUGUCUGUAUAUGUCUUAAUAUCUAUUGCUGUAUGACACCUUAAUCUGCUGCAUUGGGGUGGAUGGUUGUACUGGUCAGACCACAAUUAUUAAUGUUAGUGUGAUCAUUC